rnacentral:misc_RNA from 1 species
GAAACGCGAUAGGUAAUGUGAAUUGCAGAAUUCCGUGAAUCAUCGAAUCUUUGAACGCACCUUGCGCUCUAUGGCAAUCCGUAGAGCAUGCCUGUUUGAGUGCCAUGAAAUCUCCCACCCCAAGCGGUUUUUAAAUGAAACGGCUUGGCGGAUGGGGUCUGGAUGGGUGCCUCUGCCUGCGCUACCUAGCACAGGCUCGCCCGAAAUGCAUGAGCGCCUUGAGACACUUUGCAUCCGCCUCUCUGUUUGGGAGGAGGCGGCCAAGCAGUGUUUUUUCUCCUGGCACUCAAAUCAGGUAGGAUCACCCGCUGAACUUAA